rnacentral:rRNA from 1 species
GUGGGGAAUCUUAGACAAUGGGGGAAACCCUGAUCUAGCCAUGCCGCGUGAGCGAUGAAGGCCUUAGGGUUGUAAAGCUCUUUCAGCUGGGAAGAUAAUGACGGUACCAGCAGAAGAAGCCCCGGCUAACUCCGUGCCAGCAGCCGCGGUAAUACGGAGGGGGCUAGCGUUGUUCGGAAUUACUGGGCGUAAAGCGCGCGUAGGCGGACCAGAAAGUUGGAGGUGAAAUCCCAGGGCUCAACCUUGGAACUGCCUUCAAAACUCCUGGUCUGGAGUUCGAGAGAGGUGAGUGGAAUUCCGAGUGUAGAGGUGAAAUUCGUAGAUAUUCGGAAGAACACCAGUGGCGAAGGCGACUCACUGGCCCAAUACUGACGCUGAGGCGCGAAAGCGUGGGGAGCAAACAGGAUUAGAAACCCCGGUAGUCC